GUUUGUGAACUGUGUUAAAUUGGGGUUUGACUCCUCUUUAUGCUGGCCUGGGAGCAGAAUUCAGUCUGUACAGCUGAAGGUUCAAUCACUCUUCAAGAGAGAAAAAGGGAGACCAACUUGGCCGAAAUCACAGCAAGAGCAAUACCCGUUACCAACAGCAGCAGUUACGGGGACUGACAGGAUGGUAACAGAAUUAGAGAAAAGAGACAUCAUCAAAAGGACUCAUUCACCUUAUAAUUCACCAGGGUGGCCAGUAAAGAAACCAACUGGGCAAUGGUGUUUCACAAUGGAUUAUCAACAGUUAAAUGCUAAUACUGCACCUUUAACUGCUUCAGUUCCAAACAUUGCCAAGAUUGUGACACUGAUACAGGGAGCUGCCCCAAAAUGAAAGUCUCUUGUGUAUCUGCUAAUACCAUCACCCUAAAAGUUCAUAAUGAGCCGAGAGAAUAUCCUAUGGGAUUUUACACUGGAAAACAAGAUAAUAACCACCCUGCCAGUUAUAUACUCAGCCGAGCAUGCUUCCUUUCUUUUUAUAUUUACCGGAAUCACCCUUUGUUAUGGCAUAACCUGUCUGGGAAAGACUCCACAGGGACUGGUUUCCUUCUAAUUGAAAUUAGUACAUUCCUUCUGGUCCAGACACACAAUCUUUGGGACCAUGCACUUCUAAAUUAUACUGAAAGUGUUGGAUCACUAAAAAAUCAGAGAAAGACCAGAAAGACUACCAGUUGAUUACAGAUGCACUUGGUACCACCCAAAAUAAAUCUUCUCUAGCUCCUAGUUGUAUCCAAGCUCAACUAUGGAUACAAUCUAUAGUUGCUGAAGUUGUACAAGAAGGUGAGGGAGGCACCCUGCCCACUGAAAUUCAAAAGAUAAUUUGGGAUAAUGCAACUAAAUUUGAGAAAGAAUUCCAGUUCUGGUGGUAUCCAGUUAAUUUCACCUAUAACCCUACUGACGGGCAAAGCUACAGCUUUUGUGUUCACAAUACGCAAUGCUUCGGUGUAUACCAUAUGCCCAGUCAUUCCACUGGGAUUAAAUCACAUUGGGGCCGUACUCUACCCAUUAGAACAUUGAGCAUGGGCCCAACAAAGAGAAGACAAAUGGGAAACCCUUGAUGUUGCUGCAUGUGUUGUGCAGGAGCAACAAGGAUUUAUUUGUGAAAGCAAACGCCAUCAAAGCCCAAGACAUUUGUCUCGACACUGAACAAAACAUUUGCCAUUUUGAAAUGCAACCCGAUGAAACCCCUGAAACUGUACUUGUAUAUAUUGGGAAAGGAUGUGCUUGUAUGAGAAGCCUUUGUGACUCUAUACUUGCAGAUACUUGUAAUCACUCUAAUAUUUGUGUUUUAACCUUACUAACAUAAUGGGAUGUGACUUUAAUUAUUUGGCUCCUGUCACAUCCUAUCAAUUGCUACAACCUAACUACAUAUCAUAUCAAGGCUUGUUACGUACCCCCAUUGGAAUGAAUCUCACAUUGGUGAAAAAACUGUUGCGACAUGAUGAUCUGAACCAGUUGCUGGAAAAAAUUCGGAACAACGGAAAAGGAACUCUAAUUACUGUCCAUCGUGAUGCAGAGGAGAUACACUGCGUCUUAGAAAGAGUGAAGAAGGAUGGAGAGCACCACUGGUGGGACACUUUAUUUGGAUGGUCACCAACCACAACAGGAAUCUUCAAGAAGAUGUUUCAUCCUGUCGUAGUUUUACUAAUACUUACCAUAUCAUGUUGUAUUUUAACAGUUACCUUGUAUGUUAAACUUUGGAUUACGAUGAAACAUUUGUAUCACCAAAUGUCCCCACAAGAUAUAUAUGUCAUUGAUAUUCCCCACCACAAGAAUGCACGUGACACACCCUAUACAUCCCAAAUCCCAUGAAGCUUGAGCGUGAACCUUGAGUGACUAUAGUCACGGGGUGAAUUGUGUGGAAUAAUCGCUGGAGCUGACUUAGAAAUUAAACUUAUGUUUUUAGAAAAGGUACAGCAUUGAAGAAGCUUUCAGGGUGAAGUGCAGCUGAUAUAUGAGCAAUCCAUUCCACAGAAUUUCCCUAGUAACCUUAGACGUUGGCAAUGCCAGGAGAACUUGGCAUACUGACUCUAAGAGGAGUUGUCCGGAGGGUGGAGUGGUGUGGAGGCAUCACGGCCAGGCUCUGUGAUAAAUAGGAACUCGAGGUACCAUGGAGCUAGUACGCUGCAUAUUUGCCACCCUGGGCCAACAGUCCAUCAUACUUUUGAAAAAAUGCUGUCCUUUUGGUGAACUUUGCUCAUUAUAAUAUCAUUAUAGUACCAAAACACACCUCCAUCCCAAAAGCUACCCUUCUCUUAAGGUGCAACCACUCCUCACUGGCCAUUCGCUUUUAAUUUCUUGUAGUCUAUGCUUUUAAAAGUAAAACGAGGAAAUUCUACACUGAUAAUAAAGGUAUGUAUGACUAGAGUCACUCAAGCUCCACCUGAAAGAUAAAAAAAAAAGUAUGAAAUGUGUGAAGAGAAAGAGGGUGUUAGGGAAGAUACCAUCAUGUACCACUCUGACUUCUGAGACCAGUCGAUGGGCUGAGCCUCUCUUCCCUCCCCACCGAGACGCCUUUGAGUAAGAUUGGAAACCUCUAUAGAGGCACUUUAAAUCCCUAAUGUAUUAGAGUUGCUUUGCUUCAUAUUAGAGUCGCUUCAUAUUUGUUUAGCAUACUUGUAGCCUAGCGGUGUACUCAUAUCUUUGUUAUUUCAGUGUCUUGUAACCAGCAAUCUUAUCACCAGUAAUCCAAAGAACCUGUGUAUCUGUUGCUUUAAUAAAUUUUACU